UAGUGGCGAACGGGUGAGUAACACGUGGGCAAUCUGCCCUUCACUCUGGGACAAGCCCUGGAAACGGGGUCUAAUACCGGAUACCACCCUGUCCCGCAUGGGACGGGGUUGAAAGCUCCGGCGGUGAAGGAUGAGCCCGCGGCCUAUCAGCUUGUUGGUGGGGUAAUGGCCUACCAAGGCGACGACGGGUAGCCGGCCUGAGAGGGCGACCGGCCACACUGGGACUGAGACACGGCCCAGACUCCUACGGGAGGCAGCAGUGGGGAAUAUUGCACAAUGGGCGAAAGCCUGAUGCAGCGACGCCGCGUGAGGGAUGACGGCCUUCGGGUUGUAAACCUCUUUCAGCAGGGAAGAAGCGCAAGUGACGGUACCUGCAGAAGAAGCGCCGGCUAACUACGUGCCAGCAGCCGCGGUAAUACGUAGGGCGCAAGCGUUGUCCGGAAUUAUUGGGCGUAAAGAGCUCGUAGGCGGCUUGUCACGUCGGAUGUGAAAGCCCGGGGCUUAACCCCGGGUCUGCAUUCGAUACGGGCUAGCUAGAGUGUGGUAGGGGAGAUCGGAAUUCCUGGUGUAGCGGUGAAAUGCGCAGAUAUCAGGAGGAACACCGGUGGCGAAGGCGGAUCUCUGGGCCAUUACUGACGCUGAGGAGCGAAAGCGUGGGGAGCGAACAGGAUUAGAUACCCUGGUAGUCCACGCCGUAAAC
rnacentral:rRNA from 2 species